AAAACAUUAUCAUUUUUCUAUUUUUUUUUCAUUUAUUUAAAAAAAAAAGUUCGCCCGUUGUAAUUUUAACCAAAUAAGAAAGUAAAGAAAAUAUUAAUCAUUUUAGUGCUGAAUGGAAAAAUAUUACCGGUGAAAGUUUUUCACUAGUAAAUAUGUUAUUUAAAUUGAAUCAAUACAAAAACUAAAAAAGAGAAGUUAAUUAUCAUAAAUAAAUGACGAGUCAUGGAAUCGUUUCGACGGACGAAAAGUUUCCAGUAAGUAUUCUGAUAAAUCCCGAAAAAAAAAAAUAAAAAAAAAUAGUUUAAACAAAAUCAAGGAAUAUUAUCAGAAUAAAAUUAUUAUUUUUCAUUAUUAUUAUUAUUCAGCAACGAAGUUGCGUGGACCUUAGUCCUUCUUGACGGCUUGCUUGGCCUGAUGAGCCUGUAGCACGGCGACGGCUUCCUCGACUUUAGCCUUGAGCGAUUCGCUGUGCUCCAACAUGUGCAACAACUCAGAAUUAUCAAUCUCGAGCAACAUGCCAGUAAUCUUACCGGUGAGCUGCGGGUACAUCAUCUGGAUAAGCGGGAAAAGUCUUUCACCCAGCAUUUGCUUCUGUUCUUGAGGAAGAGCAGCAGCCAGCAUGGAAGCAGUGAGGGGUUCCUGACCCUGGAUGUGGACAGCUUGCUGAACCGGAGCCGGCUGGGGCAUCUGCAUGGGCUGGGGUGGGUUGCGAACGUUGAUGUUGUACUUGAAGUUCGGAGGCCGACU